GACAGAGGAUGCAAGCGUUCUCCGGAAUGAUUGGGCGUAAAGCGGGUGUAGGUGGCUCUAUAAGUCAGGAGUGAAAUCCCCGAGCUUAACUUGGGAAGUGCUUUUGAUACUGCAGAGCUUGAAUGUGGGAGAGGAUCGUGGAAUUCCCGGUGUAGCGGUGAAAUGCGCAGAUAUCGGGAGGAACACCAAUUGCGAAGGCAGCUCGCUGGGACGUUACUGACGCUGAGACGCGAAAGCGUGGGGAGCAAACAGG
rnacentral:rRNA from 1 species